AGUCGAGCGGAAACGAUCCUAGCUUGCUAGGAGGCGUCGAGCGGCGGACGGGUGAGUAAUGCAUAGGAAUCUGCCCGGUAGUGGGGGAUAACUUGAGGAAACUCAAGCUAAUACCGCAUACGCCCCAAGGGGGAAAGCAGGGGAUCUUCGGACCUUGCGCUAUCGGAUGAGCCUAUGUCGGAUUAGCUAGUUGGUGAGGUAAUGGCUCACCAAGGCCGCGAUCCGUAGCUGGUCUGAGAGGAUGAUCAGCCACAUCGGGACUGAGACACGGCCCGAACUCCUACGGGAGGCAGCAGUGGGGAAUAUUGGACAAUGGGCGAAAGCCUGAUCCAGCCAUGCCGCGUGUGUGAAGAAGGCCUUCGGGUUGUAAAGCACUUUCAGCGAGGAAGAACGCUUGUGGGUUAAUACCCCGCAAGAAGGACAUCACUCGCAGAAGAAGCACCGGCUAACUCCGUGCCAGCAGCCGCGGUAAUACGGAGGGUGCAAGCGUUAAUCGGAAUUACUGGGCGUAAAGCGCGCGUAGGCGGCUUGAUAAGCCGGUUGUGAAAGCCCCGGGCUCAACCUGGGAACGGCAUCCGGAACUGUCAGGCUAGAGUGCAGGAGAGGAAGGUAGAAUUCCCGGUGUAGCGGUGAAAUGCGUAGAGAUCGGGAGGAAUACCAGUGGCGAAGGCGGCCUUCUGGACUGACACUGACGCUGAGGUGCGAAAGCGUGGGUAGCAAACAGGAUUAGAUACCCUGGUAGUCCACGCCGUAAACGAUGUCGACUAGCCGUUGGGGUCCUCGAGACCUUUGUGGCGCAGUUAACGCGAUAAGUCGACCGCCUGGGGAGUACGGCCGCAAGGUUAAAACUCAAAUGAAUUGACGGGGGCCCGCACAAGCGGUGGAGCAUGUGGUUUAAUUCGAUGCAACGCGAAGAACCUUACCUACUCUUGACAUCGAGCGAACUUUCCGAAAAUGGAUUGGUGCCUUCGGGAACGCUCAGACAGGUGCUGCAUGGGCGUCGUCAGCUCGGGUUKUGAAAUGUUGGGUUAAGUCCCGUAACGAGG
rnacentral:rRNA from 1 species